AUACGUAGGGUGCGAGCGUUAAUCGGAAUUACUGGGCGUAAAGCGUGCGCAGGCGGUUUUGUAAGUCAGAUGUGAAAUCCCCGGGCUUAACCUGGGAACUGCGUUUGAAACUGCAAGGCUAGAGUGUGACAGAGGGGGGUGGAAUUCCGCGUGUAGCAGUGAAAUGCGUAGAGAUGUGGAGGAACACCAAUGGCGAAGGCAGCCCCCUGGGUCAACACUGACGCUCAGGCACGAAAGCAUGGGGAGCAAACAGGAUUAGAUACCCCGGUAGUCC
rnacentral:rRNA from 1 species